rnacentral:rRNA from 1 species
UACGAAGGGGGCUAGCGUUGCUCGGAAUUACUGGGCGUAAAGGGAGCGUAGGCGGAUAGUUUAGUCAGAGGUGAAAUCCCGGGGCUCAACCUCGGAACUGCCUUUGAUACUGGCUAUCUUGAGUAUGGGAGAGGUGUGUGGAACUCCGAGUGUAGAGGUGAAAUUCGUAGAUAUUCGCAAGAACACCAGUGGCGAAGGCGGCUCACUGGCCCGAUACUGACGCUGAGGCACGAAAGCGUGGGGAGCAAACAGG